CGUACACUCCUGCGGGAGGCAGCAGUGGGGAAUAUUGCACAAUGGGCGCAAGCCUGAUGCAGCCAUGCCGCGUGUAUGAAGAAGGCCUUCGGGUUGUAAAGUACUUUCAGCGGGGAGGAAGGCGAUAAGGUUAAUAACCUUGUUGAUUGACGUUACCCGCAGAAGAAGCACCGGCUAACUCCGUGCCAGCAGCCGCGGUAAUACGGAGGGUGCAAGCGUUAAUCGGAAUUACUGGGCGUAAAGCGCACGCAGGCGGUCUGUCAAGUCGGAUGUGAAAUCCCCGGGCUCAACCUGGGAACUGCAUUCGAAACUGGCAGGCUAGAGUCUUGUAGAGGGGGGUAGAAUUCCAGGUGUAGCGGUGAAAUGCGUAGAGAUCUGGAGGAAUACCGGUGGCGAAGGCGGCCCCCUGGACAAAGACUGACGCUCAGGUGCGAAAGCGUGGGGAGCAAACAGGAUUAGAAACCCUUGUAGUCCCAUGA
rnacentral:rRNA from 1 species